UAGGGAAUCUUCGGCAAUGGGGGGAACCCUGACCGAGCAACGCCGCGUGAGUGAAGAAGGUUUUCGGAUCGUAAAGCUCUGUUGUUAAGGAAGAACGAGUGUGAGAAUGGAAAGUUCAUGCUGUGACGGUACUUAACCAGAAAGGACCGGCUAAUUACGUGCCAGCAGCCGCGGUAAUACGUAAGGUCCGAGCGUUGUCCGGAAUCAUUGGGCGUAAAGGGUACGUAGGCGGGUAAGCAAGUUAGAAGUGAAAUCCUGUAGCUCAACUACAGUAAGCUUUUAAAACUGCUCAUCUUGAGAUAUGGAAGGGAAAGUGGAAUUCCUAGUGUAGCGGUGAAAUGCGUAGAUAUAUGGAGGAACACCGGUGGCGAAAGCGGCUCUCUGGUCUGUAACUGACGCUGAGGCUCGAAAGCGUGGGGAGCGAACAGG
rnacentral:rRNA from 1 species